CUGGGUGCUUCCUCUUACGCACAAAAGAAGGAAAGCUGUGCUGUUUCCCUGGGCCCUUCCGGGACCUAACAGUCAAGAAGCAUUCAGUUCUACAUUUCAGGCUCCAAAUUUCAGAAAGGCAAAUUCUCUCCAAAUAAUGAAUACUAUUACCAAGUGCUCCAGGAAGGAAACAGCAGCAGAACUGGAAAGGGUGCUGCUUCUGGCACCUGCGUUCUCCUCCCAGAGCCUAUGCGGGGAGGACUGAAGAUCGUGCUCUGCGCCUGUGGCCAGUGACCUCCACGCCGUGAGUGGAACCCACAGAAAUUCAGACUGCUCUGAAUCAGGAGCUGACAGAGGCGGCGGGGGCUGUAGCUGUUUGACACAGGCCUUGACAAUCCAGAGACACUUCCUCAUUCCAUUUACUCCACUUCCCCUGGCAUCUGCUGGAAUUCUACACCCGGAAGGUCAUCCCUGAGUCGACUGUGAAGCUACGUUGUGUGGCCUGGAGGGGCGUGGAAGGAGACCUACUUCUGUGCUUGCCCCUACCCCACGGGAGCGGCAGUCCCACAGAACCCCACGGACGCAGAGUGACAGCAGUGCUCACACCAGGAAGCCCCAGACCUCAGUGAUGAGGACACCAGAGACUCCUCUGCUGCCUUCUAGACACGGUGACGGGACAUUAGCCUCCUGCGGGGUCGGGGGGACCUUCCUUGAGAAUAACCUCUUCACUAGGAGCCCGGAUGGUACCUGCUUCCCCUCGCAGCGCCUUCUCCACCGCGACCCCUCUCUCCUCCAGCUGCCGCUGCUUCUCCUCCACCUGCUCCAGCUGCCGCUGGAUGAUCUGUGGGCCAACAGGACAGAGAAGGUGGGCGAGGGACAAACUAAGGGAGGCUUCUGAGGACAAGCGACACCGCCAGGAGGAUGUUCCAUCCUGAAGAAACAGCUGAGGGCACAUUUUCACACAGACAAGGAAAUAAAGUCCAGGGGUCCCAUCAUG